AAUCAGUUACGGUUCAUUUGAUAUUAAAUUUUUACAUGGAUWACUGUGGUAAAUCUAGASCUAAUACSKGAACUAAAGCUUUAACCUUUAAUGGAAAAAGCGCAUUUAUUAGACCAAGACCAAUGGUUAUGCAUUUUAUGUGUAACCUUUAACCUUUGGUGACUCUGAAUAACUGAGCUAAUCGCAUGGCCUAUGCGCCGGCGAUA
rnacentral:rRNA from 1 species